GUGGCUGAUUCUGUCAGUAGGACCUGCGUGCAGCAGAUGAGGAGAAGGAAGCUGUAAAUUCGUAGAGACAUCGGGAGGACUAGGAUAUAAAGAACUCGAGCACUGACCAUCUUACAAAGCGAAUUCGGUCAUUAAAGAUUUUACUAGAGAACGGCGAGGAAUUCUAGCCUAAAUGUACUACAUUAUCUACUAGUGCCCUUGACCUUUCCAGCGUUCCGGGUCCGACUCACGGUGACCCCAAGGUCAGAGUAUACAUGUACCAGUAAUUGGUUAUCUUAGUGACGUCAGAUACAAUAUACUCCAUACGCCAAUUCACUGAAGUACAUUCUGACAAUAUCACGAGUGACACGAGGUUCGCAUACCUGCCAAGUGUCUUAAAAACUCUAUGAAACAAGAGUUUCGGAAAACCGAGUAACUGACAAGUAACUGACAAGAUUUGGUUAUGGGACCUGUUCCUUCCAUUAUUCAGUUGAUUUACCUAACAUCCUUGGAUAUGAGAAAAGGCAAGAUGGACGCCGGCGAUAUUUCUGGUUACGGUUAGUUUUGGAGCAGGUCCCAAAGUGAAAACUGCAAGGUCCUAAAUUCACCAAAGCUGUUUUGACUAGAUAGGAUUUCAUGAUUUAUUCAGUGAUAAAUAAAGUUUUCAAGUGCUG